UACGUAGGGUGCAAGCGUUGUCCGGAAUUAUUGGGCGUAAAGAGCUCGUAGGCGGUCUGUCGCGUCUGCUGUGAAAACUCGGGGCUUAACCCCGGGCCUGCAGUGGGUACGGGCAGACUAGAGUGCGGUAGGGGAGACUGGAAUUCCUGGUGUAGCGGUGAGAUGCGCAGAUAUCAGGAGGAACACCGGUGGCGAAGGCGGGUCUCUGGGCCGUAACUGACGCUGAGGAGCGAAAGCGUGGGGAGCGAACAGG
rnacentral:rRNA from 1 species